GAUGAACGCUGGCGGCGUGCCUAAUACAUGCAAGUCGAACGCGCAGCGAAAGGUGCUUGCACCUUUCAAGCGAGUGGCGAACGGGUGAGUAACACGUGGAUAACCUGCCUCAAGGCUGGGGAUAACAUUUGGAAACAGGUGCUAAUACCGAAUAAAACUUAGUAUCGCAUGAUACAAAGUUAAAAGGCGCUACGGCGUCACCUAGAGAUGGAUCCGCGGUGCACUAGUUAGUUGGUGGGGUAAAGGCUUACCAAGACGAUGAUGCAUAGCCGAGUUGAGAGACUGAUCGGCCAAAUUGGGACUGAGACACGGCCCAAACUCCUACGGGAGGCUGCAGUAGGGAAUCUUCCACAAUGGGCGCAAGCCUGAUGGAGCAACGCCGCGUGUGUGAUGAAGGCUUUCGGGUCGUAAAGCACUGUUGUAUGGGAAGAAAUGCUAAAAUAGGGAAUGAUUUUAGUUUGACGGUACCAUACCAGAAAGGGACGGCUAAAUACGUGCCAGCAGCCGCCGUAA
rnacentral:rRNA from 1 species